AGUAGGUCUGUCUGUGUGUGUGUCAGUAUGUCUGUGUGUAUGCCAGUAUGUCUGUGUGUGUGUGUGUGUGUCAGUAUGUCUGUGUGUAUGCCAGUAUGUCUCUGUGUGUGUGUCAGUAUUUCUGCGUGUGUGUGUCAGUAUGUCUGUGUGUAUGCCAGUAUGUCUGUGUGCGUAUGCCAGUAUGUCUGUGUGUGUGUGUCAGUAUGUCUGUGUGUAUGCCAGUAUGUCUGUGUGUGUGUGUCAGUAUGUCUGUGUGUAUGCCAGUAUGUCUGUGUAUGUGUGUGUCAGUAUGUCUGUGUGUAUGCCAGUAUGUCUGUGUGUGUCAGUAUGUCUGUGUGUGUGUAUGUAGGUAUGUCUCUGUGUGUGUGUGUACGUGUGUGUCAGUAUGUCUGCCAGGAUAUAUUUGUGUGUCAGUGUAUGUGUGUGUCAGUAUGUAUCUGUGAAUGUUUUAAUGUCUGUCUGUGUGUAUGUGCCAGUACGUCUGU